rnacentral:rRNA from 1 species
GACUUAAGGUCCGGAGCCGAAGCGAAAGCGAGUGUUAAAAGCACGGUUGAAUCGCUUAUCAUAGACCCGAAACCGGGUGAUCUAUCCAUGUCCAGGUUGAAGCUGCCGUAAGAGGUAGUGGAGGACCGAACACACAUCCGUUGAAAAGGGUGGUGAUGAGGUGUGGAUAGGGGAGAAAUUCCAAUCGAACCCGGAGAUAGCUGGUUCUCCUCGAAAUAGCUUUAGGGCUAGCCUCUGGUUAGUCUGCCGCAGGUAGAGCACUGAAUUUCCUAGGGGGCGUCAAAGCCUACCGAAGAAUAUCAAACUGCGAAUGGCGGACAGAUGAUGCCAGGGAGUCAGACUGCACGAGAUAAGUUGGGUGGUCAAAAGGGAAAGAGCCCAGACCUACAGCUAAGGUCCCAAAGUGUGUGUUAAGUGGAAAAGGAUGUGGGAUUUCGAAGACAACUAGGAUGUUGGCUCAGAAGCAGCCACACAUUAAAAGAGUGCGUAAUAGCUCACUAGUCGAGAGGUCCUGCGCCGAAAAUGUCCGGGGCUAAAACACAACACCGAAGCUUAGGAAUUCUAAUGAAUUGGUAGAGGAGCAUUGAAGACGGAACGAAGCCAUACCGAAAGGAAUGGUGGACUGUCUUGAAGAGAGAAUGCCGGAAUGAGUAGCGAGAUUGAAGUGAGAAUCUUCAAGGCCGAAUAUCUAAGGUUUCCAGGGUAAAGCUGAUCUGCCUGGGUAAGUCGGGGCCUAAGGCAAGGUCGAAAGACGUAGUCGAUGGAUAACAGGUUGAAAUUCCUGUACUGCAUCAAAUCAGAAAUGUGGGGACACAUGAGGGAAGCAUGAGCCGGAAAAGGAAAGUCCGGUACAAGCGCAGCAGAGGACAGAUAGGCAAAACCGUCUGUCAACUCGAGGGCGCGAUGUGGAGCGAACCAAAGUAGCGAAGCAUGUGGAGCUUGUGUCGAGAAAAGCCGCUAUAGUGUUUGAUGUACCCGUACCGUAAACCGACACAGGUGGAUGAGGAGAGAAUCCUAAGGCCGGCGGGAGAAGCAUUGUUAAGGAACUCGGCAAAAUGACCCCGUAACUUCGGGAGAAGGGGUGCUCCAGAGAUGGAGCCGCAGAGAACUGGCCCAAGCAACUGUUUAGCAAAAACACAGGUCUAUGCAAAACCGAAAGGUGAGGUAUAUGCUGACGCCUGCCCGGUGCUGGAAGGUUAAGAGGAGAUGUUAAUCGCAAGGUGAAGCAUUGAAUUUAAGCCCCAGUAAACGGCGGCCGUAACUAUAACGGUCCUAAGGUAGCGAAAUUCCUUGUCGGGUAAGUUCCGACCCGCACGAAAGGCGUAAUGAUUUGGGCACUGUCUCGACAAUGCACCCGGUGAAAUUGAAAUACCAGUGAAGAUGCUGGUUACCUGCGCCAGGACGGAAAGACCCCAUGGAGCUUUACUCUAGCUUGAUACUGGGGUUCGGUAUUGCAUGUACAGGAUAGGUGGGAGACUGAGAAGAUGUGUCGCCAGAUGCAUCAGAGUCGAUGUUGGGAUACCACCCCUGCAGUACUGGGCUUCUAACCUGCAGCCGUGACCCGGCUGGGGGACAAUGUCUGGUGGGGAGUUUGACUGGGGCGGUCGCCUCCGAAAGAGUAUCGGAGGCGCUCAAAGGUUCCCUCAGAAUGGUUGGAAACCAUUCGAAGAGCGCAAAGGCAGAAGGGAGCUUGACUGCGACACCGACGGGUGGAGCAGGUACGAAAGUAGGACUUAGUGAUCCGGUGGUAUGAAAGUGGGAUUGCCAUCGCUCAACGGAUAAAAGCUACCCUGGGGAUAACAGGCUUAUCACUCCCAAGAGUUCACAUCGACGGAGUGGUUUGGCACCUCGAUGUCGGCUCAUCGCAUCCUGGGGCUGUAGUAGGUCCCAAGGGUUGGGCUGUUCGCCCAUUAAAGCGGUACGCGAGCUGGGUUCAGAACGUCGUGAGACAGUUCGGUCCCUAUCCGGCGUGGGCGUAGGAUAUCUGAGAGGAGCUGUCCUUAGUACGAGAGGACCGGGAUGGACUGACCUCUGGUGCACCGGUUGCAUUGCCAAAUGCAUAGCCGGGUAGCCAAGUCGGGACGGGAUAAACGCUGAAGGCAUCUAAGCGUGAAGCCCCCCUCAAGAUGAGAUAUCCCAUAACGUAAGUUAGUAAGACCCCUUGAAGACGACGAGGUAGAUAGGCAGAAGGUGGAAGUGUGGUGACAUAUGGAGCUGAUCUGUACUAAUAGGUCGAGGGCUUAACCAA